rnacentral:rRNA from 1 species
UACGUAGGGUGCGAGCGUUGUCCGGAAUUAUUGGGCGUAAAGAGCUCGUAGGCGGUUUGUCGCGUCUGCUGUGAAAACUCGGGGCUUAACCCCGGGCCUGCAGUGGGUACGGGCAGACUAGAGUGCGGUAGGGGAGACUGGAAUUCCUGGUGUAGCGGUGAAAUGCGCAGAUAUCAGGAGGAACACCGGUGGCGAAGGCGGCCUUCUGGGCCUGUUCUGACGCUGAGGAGCGAAAGCGUGGGGAGCAAACAGG